rnacentral:rRNA from 1 species
CUGGCGGCGUGCUUAACACAUGCAAGUCGAACGAACCUUCGGGUUAGUGGCGGACGGGUGAUUAACGCGUGAGAAUCUGCCCUCAGGAGGGGGAUAACAGCUGGAAACGGCUGCUAAUACCCCAUAUGCCGCGAGGUGAAAUGAAUUUCGCCUGAGGAUGAGCUCGCGUCUGAUUAGCUAGUUGGUGUAGGUAAUGGCUCACCAAGGCAUCGAUCAGUAGCUGGUCUGAGAGGAUGAUCAGCCACACUGGGACUGAGACACGGCCCAGACUCCUACGGGAGGCAGCAGUGGGGAAUUUUCCGCAAUGGGCGAAAGCCUGACGGAGCAACGCCGCGUGAGGGAUGA